rnacentral:rRNA from 1 species
UACGUAGGGUGCAAGCGUUGUCCGGAAUCAUUGGGCGUAAAGCGCGCGUAGGCGGACCUGCAAGUCGGGGGUGAAAGCCCGAGGCUCAACCUCGGAACUGCCUUCGAUACUGCGGGUCUCGAGUCCGGGAGAGGUGAGUGGAAUUCCGUAGUGUAGAGGUGAAAUUCGUAGAUAUUAGGAAGAACACCAGUGGCGAAGGCGACUCACUGGACAUGUAUUGACGCUGAGGUGCGAAAGCGUGGGGAGCAAACAGG